rnacentral:rRNA from 1 species
UACGAGGGGUGCAAGCGUUGCUCGGAAUUAUUGGGCGUAAAGGGCAGGUAGGUGGUCUCAUUUGUCAGGGGUGAAAGCCUUGGGCUUAACCCAAGAAGUGCCUUUGAAACGGUGAGACUGGAGUCUUGGAGAGGGUUGUGGAAUUCCCAGUGUAGCGGUGAAAUGCGUAGAGAUUGGGAGGAACACCAGCGGCGAAGGCGGCGACCUGGACAAGUACUGACACUCAACUGCGAAAGCGUGGGGAGCGAACAGG